rnacentral:rRNA from 1 species
AGAGUUUGAUCAUGGCUCAGAUUGAACGCUGGCGGCAGGCCUAACACAUGCAAGUCGAACGGUAACAGGAAGAAGCUUGCUUCUUUGCUGACGAGUGGCGGACGGGUGAGUAAUGUCUGGGAAACUGCCUGAUGGAGGGGGAUAACUACUGGAAACGGUAGCUAAUACCGCAUAACGUCGCAAGACCAAAGAGGGGGACCUUCGGGCCUCUUGCCAUCGGAUGUGCCCAGAUGGGAUUAGCUAGUAGGUGGGGUAACGGCUCACCUAGGCGACGAUCCCUAGCUGGUCUGAGAGGAUGACCAGCCACACUGGAACUGAGACACGGUCCAGACUCCUACGGGAGGCAGCAGUGGGGAAUAUUGCACAAUGGGCGCAAGCCUGAUGCAGCCAUGCCGCGUGUAUGAAGAAGGCCUUCGGGUUGUAAAGUACUUUCAGCGGGGAGGAAGGGAGUAAAGUUAAUACCUUUGCUCAUUGACGUUACCCGCAGAAGAAGCACCGGCUAACUCCGUGCCAGCAGCCGCGGUAAUACGGAGGGUGCAAGCGUUAAUCGGAAUUACUGGGCGUAAAGCGCACGCAGGCGGUUUGUUAAGUCAGAUGUGAAAUCCCCGGGCUCAACCUGGGAACUGCAUCUGAUACUGGCAAGCUUGAGUCUCGUAGAGGGGGGUAGAAUUCCAGGUGUAGCGGUGAAAUGCGUAGAGAUCUGGAGGAAUACCGGUGGCGAAGGCGGCCCCCUGGACGAAGACUGACGCUCAGGUGCGAAAGCGUGGGGAGCAAACAGGAUUAGAUACCCUGGUAGUCCACGCCGUAAACGAUGUCGACUUGGAGGUUGUGCCCUUGAGGCGUGGCUUCCGGAGCUAACGCGUUAAGUCGACCGCCUGGGGAGUACGGCCGCAAGGUUAAAACUCAAAUGAAUUGACGGGGGCCCGCACAAGCGGUGGAGCAUGUGGUUUAAUUCGAUGCAACGCGAAGAACCUUACCUGGUCUUGACAUCCACGGAAGUUUUCAGAGAUGAGAAUGUGCCUUCGGGAACCGUGAGACAGGUGCUGCAUGGCUGUCGUCAGCUCGUGUUGUGAAAUGUUGGGUUAAGUCCCGCAACGAGCGCAACCCUUAUCCUUUGUUGCCAGCGGUCCGGCCGGGAACUCAAAGGAGACUGCCAGUG